rnacentral:rRNA from 1 species
AUCGCCUGAAGAUGGACUCGCGUCCCAUUAGCUUGUUGGUAAGGUAACGGCUUACCGAGGCUUAGACGGGUAGGUGGUCUGAGAGGAUGGUUACCCACACUGGAACUGAGAUACUGUCCAGACUCCUACGGGAGGCUGCAGUCGAGAAUCUUCCGCAAUGGACGAAAGUCUGACGGAGCAAUGCCGCGUGGGGGAUGAAGGCCUUCGGGUCGUAAACCCCUGUCAGAAGGGACGAAAUUUGACGGUACCUUCAGAGGAAGCCACGGCUAACUACGUGCCAGCAGCCGCGGUAAUACGUAGGUGGCGAGCGUUAUUCGGAUUUACUGGGCGUAAAGGGUCCGCAGGGGGUUUGCCAAGUCUGAUGUGAAAGCCCACGGCUCAACCGUGGAACGGCAUUGGAUACUGGCGAACUCGAGGACGUUAGAGGAGAGCAGAAUUCCUGGUGUAGCGGUGGAAUGCGUGGAUAUCAGGAGGAAUACCAAUGGCGAAGGCAGCUCUCUGGGACGUUCCUGACCCUCAUGGACGAAAGCGUGGGUAGCGAACAGGAUUAGAUACCCUGGUAGUCCACGCUGUAAACGGUGCGCACUCGAUGUAGGCGGUCUUUGGUCCCGUCUGUGUCUUAGCUAACGCGUUAAGUGCGCCGCCUGGGGACUACGGUCGCAAGACUAAAACUCAAAGGAAUUGACGGGGGCCCGCACAAGCGGUGGAGCAUGUGGCUUAAUUCGAGGCAACGCGAAGAACCUUACCCGGAUUUGACAUAUAUUGGCCCGCCCCAGAGACGGGGUUUUCCCUUCGGGGACUGAUAUACAGGUGCUGCAUGGCUGUCGUCAGCUCGUGCCGUGAGUGUUCGGUUAAGUCCGGCAACGAGCGCAACCCAUGUCACUAGUUGCCAUCAGGUAAUGCUGGGGACUCUAGUGAGACUGCCCGUGUCAAGCGGGAGGAAGGCGUGGACGACGUCAAGUCCGUAUGGCCCUUACAUCCGGGGCUGCACACGUGCUACAAUGGCCGGUACAAUGGGCAGCGAUCCUGCGAAGGUUAGCAAAUCCCCAAAGCCGGUCCCAGUUCGGAUUGGAGUCUGCAACUCGACUCCAUGAAGCCGGAAUCGCUAGUAAAGGCGUAUCAGCUACGACGCCUUGAAUACGUUCCCGGGCCUUGUACACACCGCCCGUCACAUCAUGGAAGCCUGUUGCACCCGAAGUCGUUGACCCGACCCGCAAGGGAGGGAGACGCCGAAGGUGUGCCCGGUAACUGGGAUGAAGUCG